GGCGAACGGGUGAGUAACACGUGGGUAACCUGCCCAUCAGAAGGGGAUAACACUUGGAAACAGGUGCUAAUACCGUAUAACAACCGAAACCGCAUGGUUUCGGUUUGAAAGGCGCUUUUGCGUCACUGAUGGAUGGACCCGCGGUGCAUUAGCUAGUUGGUGAGGUAACGGCUCACCAAGGCAACGAUGCAUAGCCGACCUGAGAGGGUGAUCGGCCACAUUGGGACUGAGACACGGCCCAA
rnacentral:rRNA from 1 species